GAGGUUUUCUGUGGAGCUAUAGCAGCAUUCUGUUGUCACACAGUGGCAUCUAGUGGUCCCAGGUGGAAUGUACUGUUAUAUUUU